rnacentral:rRNA from 12 species
UUUCAUUACAGGUGUUGCACGACUGUCGUCAGUUCGUGUCGUGAGAUGUUUGGUUCAUUCCUUUAAACGAGCGUAACUCUUGUUUUUAAAAUUUACUUCUAAUUUUUGAUUUAUAUUGAAAAUUUUGUUUUAAAAAGACUGUUUGUUGAGUAAAACUUUAAAGGAAGGUGAGAAUUAAGUCAAGUCACUGUGGCCCUUAUGGGUUGGGCUACACACGUGCUACAAUGAAAAUGACAAAAAGUAACAAAAAACUUUAGUUAAUCUUUAAAAAUUUUCUUAGUUCGAAUUGUAAACUGCAACUCGUUUACAUGAAGAUGGAAUCACAAGUAAUCGCAAAUCAGAACGUUGCGGUGAAUACGUACCUUGGCUUUGUACACACCGCCCGUCACAUGCAGAAAGUUAGUUUUACUUGAAAAUUUA